UCCCUGGCAGAUAGUGAAUGAGGAUAGAAAAGGCAUAAAAACGGGUACAUCAAAGACAAGGGGCACACGCAGUCCUGGACAAAGUCCCAGCUAAAGCGACUGAGAUCUUGCUCUGACCAGUCAGUUACCCACAGAGCAGCCAUUCACCUGGCCUGGCAUCCCGCACCAGCAAGAACCCCAUUUAGGGCUGAACGGAGACUGAAGAGGAAAGGUGCCUGUGCUUGGGCAUUCACGUGAAGGAAGGGCAGUUUGUGUCUUCCCCACCCCUAUCCCUACCAAAGGAGCUCCCACCAGCUUAGUGAAAUCCCAGCUGGGUUCCCUGGGCUGGCAGAAUUUUCAAGAAUCCAAGACUUUGGCACACAAGACCUGGCACAGAGAGCAACAGCGAUUGUAGUCACCUUCCCUCUCAUGGCCCAAAUUUUCACCGCCCCUUCCAAUGAUUUCUCACCAAGGGACCCAGCUGUCUCUGGAUCACCCGGGCUGAGUAGGGUCUAGCGGAGGCGGUCCCUUGUCCUUGGCCCGCCGAUCUCCCUAGCUCCCGCUCCUUCCAAGCCACGGAUACAACUUCCCCACGCGCGGCGUGGACUCGGGGAGACUCUGCUAGUCCCCAAACUGAAGCCGCAGAAACGAGGCAGCCAAAGAGCCUCUUCCAGGACGGGCGGCCAUGGAGGAGCGGCUCCCAGGAGAAAUCCAGCCUUCCUGUCUGGAACAAGGUCUGGAAGCCCCUUGGGUUCCAGGUACCCAUGGCUGACACCCUUAUGGGAAGAAACUACAGGAACAGAUGCCGCAGCAGCCUGAAAAUGAGAGGACUUGGAGCUCAUGGGAU